ACUGCGAGUGAAGCGGGAAAAGCUCAAAUUUAAAAUCUGGCGGUCUUUGGCUGUCCGAGUUGUAAUCUAGAGAAGUGCUAUCCGCGCUGGACCGUGUACAAGUCUCCUGGAACGGAGCGUCAUAGAGGGUGAGAAUCCCGUCUUUGACACGGACUACCAGGGCUUUGUGAUGUGCUCUCAAAGAGUCGAGUUGUUUGGGAAUGCAGCUCUAAAUGGGUGGUAAAUUCCAUCUAAAGCUAAAUAUUGGCGAGAGACCGAUAGCGAACAAGUACCGUGAGGGAAAGAUGAAAAGAACUUUGGAAAGAGAGUUAAACAGUACGUGAAAUUGUUGAAAGGGAAACGCUUGAAGUCAGUCGCGUUGGCUGGGGAUCAACCUUGCUCUUUUGCUUGGCGUACUUUCCAGUUGACGGGUCAGCAUCAAUUUUGACCAGUGGAUAAAGGUCAGGGGAAUGUGGCAUCUUCGGAUGUGUUAUAGCCCUUGGUUGCAUACAUUGGUUGGGAUUGAGGAACUCAGCACGCCGCAAGGCCGGGUCUUUGACCACGUACGUGCUUAGGAUGCUGGCAUAAUGGCUUUAAUCGACCCGUCUUGAAACACGGACCAAGGAGUCUAACAUGCCCGCGAGUGUUUGGGUGGAAAACCCG
rnacentral:rRNA from 1 species